UCUGUCACCCAGGCUACAGUGCAGUGGCGCAAUCUUGGCUCACUGCAACCUCUGCCUCCUGGGUUCAAGUGAUUCUCCUGCCUCAGCCUCUGGAGUAGCUGGGAUUACAGGUAGAGGAAGAAGCAAAGAGACUGCCUUGUUUUGAGAACAUGGAGCUCAACCUCAAAGCCAGGGUGCUGGAGGAGAACAUGGAAAUCAGUUCUUUCUGUUGCCUGGGGGCAGAGCCUUGUGUAUGAAUAGGGACCAUGGAAUACUAUGCAGCCAUAAAAAAGGAUGAGUUCAUGUCCUUUGCAGGGACAUGGAUGAAGCUGGAAACCAUCAUUCUCAGUAAACUAUCACAAGGACAGAAAACAAAACACCGCAUGUUCUCACUCAUGGGUGGGAACUGAACAAUAAGAACACUUGGACACAAGGUGGAGAACAUCACACACCCGGGCCUGUUGUGGGGUGGGAGGCUGGGGGAGGGAUAGCAUUAGGAGAAAUACCUAAUGUAAAUGAUGAGUUGAUGGGUGCAGCAAACCAACAUGGCACAUGUAUACCUAUGUAUCAAACCUGCACGUUGUGCACAU